UACGAAGGGGGCUAGCGUUGCUCGGAAUCACUGGGCGUAAAGCGCACGUAGGCGGCUUCUUAAGUCAGGGGUGAAAUCCUGGAGCUCAACUCCAGAACUGCCUUUGAUACUGAGGAGCUUGAGUCCGGGAGAGGUGAGUGGAACUGCGAGUGUAGAGGUGAAAUUCGUAGAUAUUCGCAAGAACACCAGUGGCGAAGGCGGCUCACUGGCCCGGUACUGACGCUGAGGUUCGAAAGCGUGGGGAGCGAACAGG
rnacentral:rRNA from 1 species